UUAUCUUCUUGGAGAUACAUAUAUUAACAUUAAAACGACACAGAGGAGAUUAGCAUGGCCCCUGAGCAAGGAUGACACGCAAAGUCGUAGAGCGCUUCAUAUUUUC
rfam:Mesocestoides corti genome assembly, scaffold: MCOS_contig0004081